rnacentral:rRNA from 1 species
GGGUGGUAAUGCCGGAUGCUCCGACAUGACGCAUGUCGUGUCGGGAAAGAUUCAUCGGUAUGGGAUGGGGUCGCGUCCUAUCAGCUUGAUGGCGGGGUAACGGCCCACCAUGGCUUCGACGGGUAGCCGGCCUGAGAGGGCGACCGGCCACAUUGGGACUGAGAUACGGCCCAGACUCCUACGGGAGGCAGCAGUGGGGAAUAUUGCACAAUGGGCGCAAGCCUGAUGCAGCGACGCCGCGUGCGGGAUGACGGCCUUCGGGUUGUAAACCGCUUUUGACUGGGAGCAAGCCCUUCGGGGUGAGUGUACCUUUCGAAUAAGCACCGGCUAACUACGUGCCAGCAGCCGCGGUAAUACGUAGGGUGCAAGCGUUAUCCGGAAUUAUUGGGCGUAAAGGGCUCGUAGGCGGUUCGUCGCGUCCGGUGUGAAAGUCCAUCGCUUAACGGUGGAUCCGCGCCGGGUACGGGCGGGCUUGAGUGCGGUAGGGGAGACUGGAAUUCCCGGUGUAACGGUGGAAUGUGUAGAUAUCGGGAAGAACACCA